rnacentral:tRNA from 1 species
AUUAAGUUAGUUUAAAUAAAACAUCUUAUUUUCAAUAAGAAAACAAGAUUUUAUUCUUACUUAAUA